UACGUAGGGGGCAAGCGUUGUCCGGAUUUAUUGGGCGUAAAGAGCGUGUAGGCGGCCAGGUAGGUCCGCUGUGAAAACUCGAGGCUCAACCUCGAGAUGUCGGCGGAAACCAUCUGGCUAGAGUCCGGAAGAGGAGAGUGGAAUUCCUGGUGUAGCGGUGAAAUGCGUUGAUAUCAUCAGGAACACCGGUGGCGAAGGCGCUUUCUGGGUCUUACCUGACGCUGAGGAACGAAAGCCAGGGGAGCGAACGGGG
rnacentral:rRNA from 1 species